UCUUCCGUACCUCCGCCGAUCGUCUCCCGGUUCCGCUCGCCGCCGCCGCCUCCGUGAGACUCCAUCCUCGAUCGGACAAUCGUCACCUGGCAAGGCUGCACUCAUGACUCUAACCCCUCUCUUUCGUGUCCUGAAUCUUGGAUGAUCAGUGCUGUCGAUUUCAGGCGAACAAUGGUCACUCGAAGUAGCCGCCUAACACAAGCAGUGUGCCAAGAAGGCCGUCCCUUUGACGAGGGCUCGUGCCGUUUCUGCUGAAGAUAACGACAAUGAGGAGUUGGAGUGCCGGUUCAUUGGGUCUCUGAUCCCCAAAGAUGAAGCUCGCCAGAAAUGGCAUAAGUGGCAUCUUGGUUUGGGCAAGAAGAAAAAGGUGGCCAAUGUAAACGGCAAUAAAGAGUAAGAUCAGAUUUGAGUACCUGCUUAGUUAUUUUUUCUGACAUAGGUUGAUCUUUUUCUCCUUGUUAACAGUUGUAUUUCCUGGAUGUUCUAUUACAACACAACGUUUGUGGAGGCGAUAACUCUAAAGAAACAAUCCAAGCCUAGUGCCACUACACGAAGGCAUAGUUGAUGGGGUUUUCUAUGAUAUUGGUGAUGAUGCCUAUGUGAAGGCUGGAGAGAAGGGGAGGGGCAAUCAUAUUUUUGAGAUCGUGGAGAUGUUCAAGGUGGCCGAUGGAUCAUUUUACUCUCGUGUACAACAACAUUACAAAGCUCACGAUAUAGUCAUCAAGCAGUUGUCUUACCUCAAUGAUGAGAAGCGGGUAUUUUUUUAGAAAUACGUGAUGACGACCCACUAGAGUGCCUUGAUAAGAAGUUAAAUAUUACUCGAGUGCCUCUCGAUGUAUGUCUAAUAUUAGUUUCUUCGGCUCGAAUCAUUUUUAGUGACAUCAGGAGUAAUUUUAUUUUGAUUUGCAGCUUAAUUAGGAAA